AUGUCACUAAGGGCCUUUUCUUCUUAUUUGUGUGACAGUUAUAUAGAUGGUCCCCCUGAGUGUAUGGAAACAAAAUCAAUGGCAAACUUCAAUCCACACAAUCACUUCUUAUGUGAGACACAGCGUUGGCUAUUACCUCACAGAACUGAUCCAAAGCUCAUUGAAUUACAAAGAAAAAAUCCCAUCCAUGUCACUGGAGUUUGCAUCAAACCUGAACUGUCAACAGACGACUACUAAGUUACAGGCAUCAGUGUUUUAGACUCUGUCCAGCUGUGUAAGAGUCUGGGAGCGUGUUUUCUGCAGACAGAGUAUGAGGAUGGAUGGCUAGCAGAAAUGAAAGCUCUUUCAUCCUCUCCAUAAAGGGAGUAGUAUCUCCCUCCUCCAAAUUUUAUGAAUUUGAUCUGAAAAAAGGAGUCAUAAACAUGCUGUUAAAAGACUGCUGUUUUAAAAGGCUGUUUCCCCAGAGACAGUCUGUGAAGCAUCUUGAUGUGAAUUCAUAAUGUCUGAGCAGUCUCAGCUGAAUUAAAGACUGAAAACAGG
rnacentral:lncRNA from 1 species